UAAUACGUAGGAUGCAAGCGUUAUUCGGAUUUACUGGGCGUAAAGCGCACCGAGGUGGCUUCUUAAGUCGGAUGUGAAAUCUCCCGGCUCAACCGGGAGGAGCCAUUCGAAACUGAGGAGCUUGAGGUCAGCAGGGGAAAGUGGAAUUCCCGGUGUAGUGGUGGAAUGCGUAGAGAUCGGGAGGAACACCAGUGGCGAAAGCGGCUUUCUGGGCUGCACCUGACACUCUAGUGCGAAAGCGUGGGGAGCAAACAGGAUUAGAUACCCUGGUAGUCCACGCCCUAAACGAUGGAUACUAGGUGUGGGAGGUAUUGACCCCUUCCGUGCCGAAGCCAACGCGUUAAGUAUCCCGCCUGGGGACUACGGCCGCAAGGUUAAAACUCAAAGGAAUUGACGG
rnacentral:rRNA from 1 species